rnacentral:rRNA from 1 species
GACGAACGCUGGCGGCGUGCUUAACACAUGCAAGUCGAACGGACCGGCCCUGCUUUUGUUGGCUGCUCAAGCGGCGAACGGGUGAGUAACACGUAAGUGACCUACCCUUCACUUUGGGGUAACUUCCGAAAACUGAGGCUAAUACCUGCUAGAAGCUCCUUCUGCAUGGUGGGGGGUGGAAAGUUUCGGCGGUUGGGGAUGGACUGGCGGCUGAUCCGCUUGUUGGUGGGGUAGUGGCUUACCAAGGCUUUGACGGGUAGCCGGCCUGAGAGGGUGACCGGCGACAUUGGGACUGAGGGACGGCCCAGAAGCCUACGGGAGGCAGCAGUGGGGAAUAUUGCGGAAUGGGCGGAAGCCUGAUGCAGCAACGCCGCGUGCGGGAUGACGGCUUUCGGGUUGUAAACCGCUUUCGCCUGUGACGAAGCGGGAGUGACGGUAAUGGGUAAAGAAGCACCGGCUAACUACGUG